rnacentral:rRNA from 1 species
UACAGAGGGUGCAAGCGUUGUCCGGAAUUAUUGGGCGUAAAGAGCUCGUAGGUGGUCUGUUGCGUCCGCUGUGAAAACUCGGGGCUUAACCCCGAGCCUGCAGUGGAUACGGGCAGACUAGAGGUAGGUAGGGGAGAAUGGAAUUCCUGGUGUAGCGGUGAAAUGCGCAGAUAUCAGGAGGAACACCGGUGGCGAAGGCGGUUCUCUGGGCCUUACCUGACACUGAGGAGCGAAAGCGUGGGGAGCGAACAGG